AUUGAACGCUGGCGGCAGGCCUAACACAUGCAAGUCGAACGAGUGGCGGACGGGUGAGUAAUGUCUGGGAAACUGCCCGAUGGAGGGGGAUAACUACUGGAAACGGUAGAUAAUCCCGCAUACCAUCGGGUGUCCCCAGAGGGGAUUCGCUAGUAGGUGGGGUAACGGCUCACCAAGGCGACGAUCCCUAGCUGGUCUGAGAGGAUGACCAGCCAAACGGGAACUGAGACACGGUCCAGACUCCUACGGGAGGCAGCAGUGGGGAAUAUUGCACAAUGUGCGCAAGCCGGAUGCAGCCAGGCCGCGUGUAUGAAGAAGGCCUUCGGGUUGUAAAGUACUUUCAGCGAGGAGGCGUUACUCGCAGAAGAAGCACCGGCUAACUCCGUGCCAGCAGCCGCGGUAAUUC
rnacentral:rRNA from 1 species